rnacentral:misc_RNA from 1 species
GUCAUAUAUUUGGUCGAUAGUCAUGCAAAAGCAACUUACAAGGCAAAGUACUAGCUUCUUUGUAAUCCAAUAAACAGUUGAGAUUAACACUGCUUAAUUUAGCUGACAGAAAGUGACUUAACCCGGAUUGGUUACCGAACAUUAUGUUCUUUACACCAGAGGUAAAUUGUGUUUAACUUCACAUCUCCCGCCAUUUUUUUGCAAUGGGAGAGCAAGAAUGAAGUCCCAAU